UAAUUGAAGAGUUUGAUCAUGGCUCAGAUUGAACGCUGGCGGCAGGCCUAACACAUGCAAGUCGAGCGGUAACAGGGGAAGCUUGCUUCUCGCUGACGAGCGGCGGACGGGUGAGUAAUGUAU
rnacentral:rRNA from 1 species